CCAUGCCGUAAACGUUGGGCGCUAGGUGUGGGGACCUUCCACGGUCUCCGUGCCGCAGCUAACGCAUUAAGCGCCCCGCCUGGGGAGUACGGCCGCAAGGCUAAAACUCAAAGGAAUUGACGGGGGCCCGCACAAGCGGCGGAGCAUGCUGAUUAAUUCGAUGCAACGCGAAGAACCUUACCUGGGUUUGACAUAUGGAGAAAACUCACAGAGAUGUGAGGUCCUUUUGGGCUCCAUACAGGUGGUGCAUGGCUGU
rnacentral:rRNA from 1 species